rnacentral:rRNA from 1 species
AAUCAAGGCAUUCCCUAGUACGGCGAGUGACCGGGAAGAGCUCAAAUUUGAAAUCUGGCGUGCUCAGUGCGUCCGAGUUGUAAUCUAUAGAGGCGUUUUCCGUGCCGGACUGUGUCUAAGUCCCUUGGAACAGGGUAUCAAAGAGGGUGAUAAUCCCGUACUUGACACAAUGACCGGUGCUCUGUGAUACGUCUUCUACGAGUCGAGUUGUUUGGGAAUGCAGCUCAAAAUGGGUGGUGAGUUCCAUCUAAAGCUAAAUAUUGGCGAGAGACCGAUAGCGAACAAGUACCGUGAGGGAAAGAUGAAAAGCACUUUGGAAAGAGAGUUAAACAGUACGUGAAAUUGUUGAAAGGGAAACGAUUGAAGUCAGUCGUGACUGAGAGGCUCAGCCGGUUCUGCCGGUGUAUUCCCCUCAGUCGGGUCAACAUCAGUUUUGUUCGGUGGAUAAGGGCAGCUGGAAGGUGGCACCUCCGGGUGUGUUAUAGCCAGCUGUCGCAUACACCGAAUGAGACUGAGGAAUGCAGCUCGCCUUUAUGGCCGGGGUUCGCCCACGUCCGAGCUUAGGAUGUUGACAUAAUGGCUUUAAACGACCCGUCUG